GACGAACCGUGCGAACGUUAUUCGGAAUCACUGGGCUUAAAGCGCGUGUAGGCGGAUCGGUGCGUCGGCGCCUGAAAUCCCCCGGCUCAACCGGGGAACGUGGCUCGAAACGGCCGGUCUGGAGGGACGUAGGGGGUCGUGGAACUUCCGGUGGAGCGGUGAAAUGCGUUGAGAUCGGAAGGAACGCCCGUGGCGAAAGCGAGACCCUGGACGUCUACUGACGCUGAGACGCGAAAGCUAGGGGAGCGAACGGGAUUAGAUACCCUAGUAGU
rnacentral:rRNA from 1 species